CCAUGUCUACUAAAAAUACAAAAAUUAACCAAGAAUGGUAGCACACUUCUGUAAUCCCAGCUACUCGGGAGGCUGAGGCAGGAGAAUUGCUUGAACCAGGA